CCCUUAGAGUUUGAUCCUGGCUCAGGACGAACGCUGGCGGCGCGCCUAACACAUGCAAGUCGAACGAGAGAUGAGGAGCUUGCUCUUCAAAUCGAGUGGCGAACGGGUGAGUAACGCGUGAGGAACCUGCCUCAAAGAGGGGGACAACAGUUGGAAACGACUGCUGAUACCGCAUAAGCCCACGGCUCGGCAUCGAGCAGAGGGAAAAGGAGCAAUCCGCUUUGAGAUGGCCUCGCGUCCGAUUAGCUGGUUGGUGAGGUAAUGGCCCACCAAGGCGACGAUCGGUAGCCGGACUGAGAGGUUGAACGGCCACAUUGGGACUGAGACACGGCCCAGACUCCUAUGGGAGGCAGCAGUGGGGAAUAUUGCACAAUGGGGGAAACCCUGAUGCAGCGACGCCGCGUGGAGGAAGAAGGUCUUCGGAUUGUAAACUCCUGUUGUUGAGGA
rnacentral:rRNA from 1 species